rnacentral:lncRNA from 1 species
AAAAAGUUACUUGUUAAUUACAUGUGAAUGAAGAAAAAUAUGGCUGAAAUUUUUAUUAAGUUGUUUAAUAUUAUGAUCCUCUUCAUUUUUCUACUUCUGGUUGUAUGUGAUGGUAAUAACUAAUAACCCCUUUCUCUCAUUAUUUGAAUUUACUUUUUAUUGUUUUGAAUGCAGCAUACGAUUUUUGUUUUACUUACGAAGAUUGUCCAAAUGUCUCUCCAGUUAUAAAAUCUCAGCCGUUUAACAAUUUUCAACACAUCCAAUGGCUGACAGUCAGUACCCACCAAUGAGAGAUAUGACUUGCUGUCUCACACUAGCAUCCGCCCCAAAUGAAAUGUGUAACAUUCUUGCGAAAGUUAUGAAGUGUAAUUGGUUUAUUUGUUCAUGUGAUGAUGACUAACAACAGUUAAGUUUAAAAGUUACUACUUCGUAGCUUUAUUGGUAGCAGACACUCUUCGCAC